rnacentral:rRNA from 1 species
AUUGAACGCUGGCGGCAUGCUUUACACAUGCAAGUCGAACGGUAACAGGCCUUCGGGUGCUGACGAGUGGCGAACGGGUGAGUAAUGCAUCGGAACGUACCCAGAGGUGGGGGAUAACGCAGCGAAAGCUGUGCUAAUACCGCAUGUGAUCUGAGGAUGAAAGCGGGGGACCGAGCAGCAAUGUUUGGCCUCGCGCCUUUGGAGCGGCCGAUGUCGGAUUAGCUAGUUGGUGGGGUAAAGGCCUACCAAGGCGACGAUCCGUAGCUGGUCUGAGAGGACGACCAGCCACACUGGGACUGAGACACGGCCCAGACUCCUACGAGAGGCAGCAGUGGGGAAUUUUGGACAAUGGGCGCAAGCCUGGUCCAGCAAUGCCGCGUGCGGGAAGAAGGCCUUCGGGUUGUAAACCGCUUUUGGCAGGAACGAAACGGUGUCCGCUAAUACCGGGCGCUAAUGACGGUACCUGCAGAAUAAGCACCGGCUAACUACGUG